CCUACGGGAGGCAGCAGUGGGGAAUAUUGCACAAUGGGGGAAACCCUGAUGCAGCGACGCCGCGUGAGUGAAGAAGUAUUUCGGUAUGUAAAGCUCUAUCAGCAGGGAAGAAAAUGACGGUACCUGAUUAAGAAGCCCCGGCUAACUACGUGCCAGCAGCCGCGGUAAUACGUAGGGGGCAAGCGUUAUCCGGAUUUACUGGGUGUAAAGGGAGCGUAGACGGCAGCGCAAGUCUGAAGUGAAAUGCCGGGGCUUAACCCCGGAACUGCUUUGGAAACUGGGCAGCUUGAGUGCAGGAGAGGUAAGUGGAAUUCCUGGUGUAGCGGUGAAAUGCGUAGAUAUUAGGAGGAACACCAGUGGCGAAGGCGGCUUACUGGACUGUAACUGACGUUGAGGCUCGAAAGCGUGGGGAGCGAACAGGAUUAGAUACCCCAGUAGUC
rnacentral:rRNA from 1 species